UGCAUUAGAUACAUGAAAGUCAACUUUAUGUAAGUAUCACACACGCGAACAUAUGUAGCAGAGAGAUGAUCGUUGCGCGCUAGUUAGUCAUGAACGUCAAUAGCCGCAGCUAUACAUUGUGACAAACGAAAAAUCCAAAAUACGCUUUACAUUACCACGCCAAUAGCUCUCUUCCUUGGGGACUUAUCUGAUGGUGUUGCGUAGGAAGUUGGAGAUACUGUUGUUCUACACCGUCCCGCUUUCAUUUUCUUCCUCCUCAACAAUUUUUUCUCUAAAUCUUUCACUCUACCAGUCAGGUUGGAUAUGACUGCCAAUUGUUCUUUCCCUGCCUCAACUAAUUUUUCCAGCAUUUCCCCCAUUUUUUCAUUUUCUUCAACCAGCUUACUAUCACUUUCCAUCUCUAUUCCCUGCUCCUUGACAGACAGCUCGCUGGCAGCAGAGGGCUCAGGUAAUAACUCCCUCUUCUCUUCAUCAUGCUCAGUAAGCAUUAGUUGUGCCUCAACUACAGGCUCUCCCUCAGAAGUUUUCAGCCCGUAAUGCUGAUUAGCCACUUUGUCAGAGCCACUCACCAUCUCCAGAACAUGAAGUUCUUUCUCUUCUUGUACAAUUUCUUCAAUUCCAUCCCUUGCUGUCAGCUGGGCUACAUUAUCCUGAUCUUCUCCAAUGUGUGCAUCUUUCACCGGAGACAGAAUCACUGUGGUUGCAGCCUCUGAAGUGAAGGUGGAGUUGAUAUCAACAAUCCCCUGGUCAACUUCUUUCUGUACUUCAUCAAGAUUCUCUCUCUGCAGAGCAGGGGCUCUUUUGCUUCUCCCCUGGUGGAGAUUCUUCCCUCUGCUUAUCGUCUUUGUUGAAUAGCAAUGAUUGUGAUUGUUGGGCAUCUGCUUCAGGCAUUGCGUUUCUGGGGCAACCACCAUCCUUCUCACUUGCAACAUCUAGCCAAUUAUGCGGUUC
rnacentral:misc_RNA from 1 species